GAUGAACGCUGGCGGCGUGCCUAAUACAUGCAAGUCGAGCGAACACACGAGGAGCUUGCUCCUCUGACGUUAGCGGCGGACGGGUGAGUAACACGUGCAUAACCUACCUAUAAGACUGGGAUAACUUCGGGAAACCGGAGCUAAUACCGGAUAAUAUAUUGAACCGCAUGGUUCAAUAGUGAAAGACGGUUUUGCUGUCACUUAUAGAUGGAUCCGCGCCGCAUUAGCUAGUUGGUAAGGUAACGGCUUACCAAGGCAACGAUGCGUAGCCGACCUGAGAGGAUGAUCAGCCACACUGGAACUGAGACACGGUCCAGACUCCUACGGGAGGCAGCAGUAGGGAAUCUUCCGCAAUGGGCGAAAGCCUGACGGAGCAACGCCGCGUGAGUGAUGAAGGUCUUCGGAUCGUAAAACUCUGUUAUUAGGGAAGAACAAAUGUGUAAGUAACUAUGCACGUCUUGACGGUACCUAAUCAGAAAGCCACGGCUAACUACGUG
rnacentral:rRNA from 1 species